rnacentral:rRNA from 1 species
UAGGGAAUAUUGGACAAUGGGGGCAACCCUGAUCCAGCCAUGCCGCGUGAGUGAAGAAGGCCCUCGGGUUGUAAAGCUCUUUUGUCCGGAAAGAAAAGCAUUCGGUGAAUACCCGGAUGUUCUGACGGUACCGGAAGAAUAAGCACCGGCUAACUUCGUGCCAGCAGCCGCGGUAAUACGAAGGGUGCAAGCGUUACUCGGAAUUACUGGGCGUAAAGCGUGCGUAGGUGGUUGUUUAAGUCUGAUGUGAAAUCCCCGGGCUUAACCUGGGAACUGCGUUUGUGACUGCAAGGCUGGAGUACGGCAGAGGGGGGUGGAAUUCCACGUGUAGCAGUGAAAUGCGUAGAGAUGUGGAGGAACACCGAUGGCGAAGGCAGCCCCCUGGGCCUGUACUGACGCUCAUGCACGAAAGCGUGGGGAGCAAACA